rnacentral:rRNA from 1 species
AAUGGGUCAGCGACUUAUAUUCUGUAGCAAGGUUAACCGAAUAGGGGAGCCGAAGGGAAACCGAGUCUUAACUGGGCGUUAAGUUGCAGGGUAUAGACCCGAAACCCGGUGAUCUAGCCAUGGGCAGGUUGAAGGUUGGGUAACACUAACUGGAGGACCGAACCGACUAAUGUUGAAAAAUUAGCGGAUGACUUGUGGCUGGGGGUGAAAGGCCAAUCAAACCGGGAGAUAGCUGGUUCUCCCCGAAAGCUAUUUAGGUAGCGCCUCGUGAAUUCAUCUCCGGGGGUAGAGCACUGUUUCGGCAAGGGGGUCAUCCCGACUUACCAACCCGAUGCAAACUGCGAAUACCGGAGAAUGUUAUCACGGGAGACACACGGCGGGUGCUAACGUCCGUCGUGAAGAGGGAAACAACCCAGACCGCCAGCUAAGGUCCCAAAGUCAUGGUUAAGUGGGAAACGAUGUGGGAAGGCCCAGACAGCCAGGAUGUUGGCUUAGAAGCAGCCAUCAUUUAAAGAAAGCGUAAUAGCUCACUGGUCGAGUCGGCCUGCGCGGAAGAUGUAACGGGGCUAAACCAUGCACCGAAGCUGCGGCAGCGACACUGUGUGUUGUUGGGUAGGGGAGCGUUCUGUAAGCCUGUGAAGGUGUACUGUGAGGUAUGCUGGAGGUAUCAGAAGUGCGAAUGCUGACAUAAGUAACGAUAAAGCGGGUGAAAAGCCCGCUCGCCGGAAGACCAAGGGUUCCUGUCCAACGUUAAUCGGGGCAGGGUGAGUCGACCCCUAAGGCGAGGCCGAAAGGCGUAGUCGAUGGGAAACAGGUUAAUAUUCCUGUACUUGGUGUUACUGCGAAGGGGGGACGGAGAAGGCUAUGUUGGCCGGGCGACGGUUGUCCCGGUUUAAGCGUGUAGGCUGGUUUUCCAGGCAAAUCCGGAAAAUCAAGGCUGAGGCGUGAUGACGAGGCACUACGGUGCUGAAGCAACAAAUGCCCUGCUUCCAGGAAAAGCCUCUAAGCAUCAGGUAACAUCAAAUCGUACCCCAAACCGACACAGGUGGUCAGGUAGAGAAUACCAAGGCGCUUGAGAGAACUCGGGUGAAGGAACUAGGCAAAAUGGUGCCGUAACUUCGGGAGAAGGCACGCUGAUAUGUAGGUGAAGUCCCUCGCGGAUGGAGCUGAAAUCAGUCGAAGAUACCAGCUGGCUGCAACUGUUUAUUAAAAACACAGCACUGUGCAAACACGAAAGUGGACGUAUACGGUGUGACGCCUGCCCGGUGCCGGAAGGUUAAUUGAUGGGGUCAGCGCA